GUGCUCACUUUGGUGGCACAUACACUAAAAUUGGAACUAUACAGAGAUUAGUUAUGAAAGCUGCACAAGGAUAACACACACAUUCAUGAAGCAUUACAUUUUCUU
ensembl:snRNA U6 U6 spliceosomal RNA